rnacentral:rRNA from 1 species
AUAUCAAUAAGCGGAGGAAAAGAAACCAACAGGGAUUGCCUCAGUAACGGCGAGUGAAGCGGCAACAGCUCAAAUUUGAAAUCUGGCUCUUUUAGGGUCCGAGUUGUAAUUUGUAGAAGAUGCUUUGGGUGUGGCUCCGGUCUAAGUUCCUUGGAACAGGACGUCAUAGAGGGUGAGAAUCCCGUACGUGACUGGGUGCCUUCGCUCGUGUAAAGCUCUUUCGACGAGUCGAGUUGUUUGGGAAUGCAGCUCAAAAUGGGUGGUAAAUUUCAUCUAAAGCUAAAUAUUGGCCAGAGACCGAUAGCGCACAAGUAGAGUGAUCGAAAGAUGAAAAGCACUUUGGAAAGAGAGUUAAACAGUACGUGAAAUUGUUGAAAGGGAAGCGCUUGCAACCAGACUUGCGGGCGGUUGAUCAUCCGAGCUUUUGCCCGGUGCACUCGAUCGUUCUCAGGCCAGCAUCGGUUUUGGUGGGCGGAUAAAGGCCUUGGGAAUGUAGCUUCUUUCGGGGAGUGUUAUAGCCCUCGGUGCAAUGCGCCCUACCGGGACCGAGGACCGCGCUUCGGCUAGGAUGCUGGCGUAAUGGUUGUAAGCGA